UAGUGGCUGGAACAAUCUAGCGAAGGUCACAAACUUAACAUUUUCUGUUGUACCAAAGUCCUCACUGAUUUUGUGCAUCAACAGAGUUAACUAAAAAAAAAAAAUCUUAAUUACACUAUGUUUGGAUAAGAAAAAUAAACUUGAAAUUUCGAUAAAAAUCUAAAUUUAUAAAUUAACAUGCACCAAUUCAUUUGUUUAGAUUCAUAAACAUAGAAAUUCAAAAUUUUCACGUGGAAAAAAAUCUUGGAAUUUGGAACCUCCAAUUCCCAAGUUUAAGUUUCAUGUAAAUAUGUGUCAGUUCUAAAUUUUCAUGAGUGAGGGUUUAAAAAUAACAAAUUCUAGUUUAAAUUCCAUUGUUCUUUUAGGUUAACCAAAUAAGAAAAUUUAUAUAUUCUAGAAAAUAAAAUUCCGUCAUUUUAAAAUUCUUUAGUAACCUUAUAUUUCCUCAUCCAAACAGAGUAAUUUUAAUUCCAAUUAUAAGUACCAAGUUAAGUAAAUCAGUGCUUAAAAAUCUUGAACAAAAACUGCUACUAAUCCUUUAAUAGACAAGUAUUAUUUUGAAAAAGAUAAACAAUUUAGUUAAUCAGUUCUCCAAACUGAGAUUCGUAUUUGCUUCCAUCAAAUGAUCCAAUACAACUUUACAAAGAGAUGAGGCGUUUGCACUUGAAGAGCUAAGAGUAGUUCCACCGGAACACCAUUAGGCUGGCACCCAGUAAAAAAAAAGGGCUGGGACUCAAUCAAUCCACUCCAGCCCGUUCAAUUGGCUGGCAUCCAGCCCAAGCUGGUCUCUAGACCAGCCUAGAAUUGACAGAGCCAAGUACCGGGCUAUUAGCGUGCUUUUUUUGGGAAUGGCGUCGAGGAAACGCAAGAUGACUGAGCAAGAAGAAAAACAGCUGGUGGCGCCGGCGAAAUCAAGCUGGUGACCCGUUGCCCGACGCCCUCAUCUUCGCCUUCCUCCUUCUCCUCACCUACUCAAUCUUCAUCGGCAUCGUCGACAUCCGCUCUUACUUCCUCC
rnacentral:lncRNA from 1 species